GGUCCUAGAGAUUUGCAAACUCUGCAAGGGGAAGGAGGAGCCAACAAAAGACUAGGUCAGCUCUCCAGCCUCCUUCCUCACUCUGCUCAGGGCUAUGUCCUAGGGCUGGAGCCCCUCUCCAGACCCUGAGACACAGCUGCACAGACCAAGUUCUGCUGUGCAGAAAACUCAUCCUCCUUCCAGGACAAGGACCUCUGUGGGAAUCAAACCGUGGAUCCAUUGCAUACGGGUGAAACUGGCUUCUGACCCAGCAACAAAUUCAUAGCCCUCAGAAGUUACAGAAAAGACAACAACAAAGCCAGCUGAAGCCAGUACUCCUUGCUGCAAGUCUGGACUAGGGCUUCAGUUAAAAACAGAGAAAGUAUCUUAGAUAACUAGUGAAUGACUAGUGGCCAUCCAUUAUAACAUUUACAAUUGACUGGAGCAUUUUUCUGGUUUAUUACUUGCUUUUAUCCUUUUGUUUGCCGCUUCAUCUAAUCAUUUUACCUGUGAUUUUAUCAUAGUCAAGCAAAUCUGUAAUUUGUUGUGAUACUGAUAAUAGGAGAGACUUAAACCUUCCUUUAUUUUAGUUCAAGCCUUGUGAUAAUAGGGUUAGUACCAAAGUUGAGCACCAGUGCUAUUUUCCUAUACAAGCUGUUGGCCCCAACUAUAAUGAUGGCUCUUGUUUUCCUUUACUGUUUCAUUCCACUGGUGUCUGCCACUUCCUGGAGGGAAGCUAGGUUAUAUCAUAACAAAGCCAGAGGUGGGAAUUUAAACGAUUGUGUGAAGUGUCAUUUGAAAUCUCAAACCAUCCAUGAACAAUAUAUCCCAUCGGUGGUUCCUGUAACAGAUUUUGAUACUGUUCCAGGCCCCAUGACCUUCUAUAACCAUCCUCCUUCAGGUGUCACAUGGCAAGUUCAGCUAACCAAGGGACAUCACAGUAUUCCAGUCCCUUGUUUCAACCUGUCUGAGGUAAUUUCCAUUGGAGGAAAAGUUACUACUGGUCCCCCUCGGUCCCUCAAAUUUAUUCUGAAAAAAUGUGAUGAACAAAAUCCCCUGAAAUGUACAAUUGACAAAUGUGUAAAGUCUAAAAAUGACACUAAUUUGUGUCAGAGAGCCAAACAAGUUGGGUAUCAUGUAAAUGGACUAUGGAAGGCUUGCAGUGGCUCUCACCCAUGGCUUGAUAACAUAAUCUCUGAACUCCCCCAAAAUGAAAGAAUCAAUGACACUACCUUGGGAGGUAUAACAUGCUCCCCUCCAGGAUAUAUCUUUGUCUGUGGCACAGGGAGUGACUCACCUACACGGGGAUGGGCACAUCACUGUUUAGACAGCUGGCAAAUGGAAGGGUCAUGCCUACUGGGACAUUUUAGGAUCCCUUUUUCUGUGCACAGCCUUAAGAGCGUUUCUUCCCUCUCUAACUCAAACUUGCGUCUUAGAAGAGAGAUAUCGUCUGGGUAUUAGGACAAUAUAAGACAAAGCAUUUUUGGCAACCUCACACCGACUGCCAGAGUUUAUAUCAAUAGAGAUAUGAUUCAUAAUCUAGCUACCACAAUUGGGAAAUCUGCCAAAUUGCUGAGGACACAGCUUAAAGUAUUCCAGCCCAGCAACUAUCUUUGAACUCAUGUGGUCCUAGAUAAUGGAAUAGCCUGUGAUUUCCUAUUGGCAAAACAAGGAAAAGUAUGUGCAGUGGCUCAUACCACAUGCUGUACAUACAUCAAUACCUCCAGAGAAGUUGAAAUCUGAAUAAACAGAAUAAUUCAAAAGGCUACCUAGUUAUAGGAUGUACAUAAAUAGAAUACACACCAAAAAUUAUUUUCCUGGUUGCCAUCUGGAAUGGGGGACUCUUUUGAGUACUGUUACAAAGUUCCAUUGAUCAUCAUCCUUUUGUAAUAGGUUUAUUAAUUUUCAAAUAUUUGUUCAGAUGGUAUAACAAAGUGGUCAAAAAGGGAGAUCAUGUUUUCAUGAUGCAAAAUAUUGACACUAGGCCUGGGACUCGAGAAUUCUUUGAGAAGAAGGUCCAAGACUUUUGCUCCUCUAAUCCUGGAGAAUCAACAUCGCCCUUGUUCAGCAGGAAGUAGCCAGAGCGGUCGUCGCCCCUGUUCCCCUCUGGAUUGAGGAGUAUCAAAGAGCAGAGGGACCUGAAACUGAGCAGGACCCUGUAGGACCUUCCUGGGUACGAUCCUCUCUUGUCCCUACGUCUUGUCUGUAGAAAAAUCUUUAGAUUUUUAAGUUUUCCCAGAGUUCUAAAGAGCAGACUCAAGCAGUUGAUGAUUAUAGAAAUGAGUAAAUGUAGAAAUAAAGGAAAAGCAAUCAAGCUAGAAAAGUUUAAACAUAAAACAGAGUCAACAAGACUCCUAGUUCUUCGUCAAGGCAUAUAGAUAACAAUCUGAUGCAACAUAUUUUUGAGUUGUUUUACAGAGCCAGUACCACAUGAUGAAACCUGUUGACCUCAGCCAAGGUGACCCAAACAAGUUGGAGCCAGAAGAAUGAUGAUCAAGAUGCCAGAUAUCACUUUGUUGCUUAACACCCAACCAAUCAGAAGAAUCCAUGAGCUAAUCAUGUGCUUAAGACCCUUACUGUUAAUUUUAGUCUUUAGAAACCCUUGCCUGAAAGCCAUUGAGGAGUUCAGGUCCUCUAAGCAUUAUUUGCCCAUUCUCCUGCUUGGCAUCCUGCAAAUAAAUAUUGAACUUUACUUUACCACAA